UGAUUAGUAAAAUAGCAGUGGAGAUGUCACUCUUUUGCUUAGAGAUGUAGUAUAGGUAAUGAAUCUGUAGAUGACUCCUGAGAAUGCUACGGAGUUUGUGGUGCAGGAAAAAGAUCAGCAUACUCCGAAUCCAGAGAUUGUGAGUCCCAGGUCGGGUCAUAUUGAAAAGUCAGCACUAAGUGAUCAUGUCAAGUGUAAUCAUAUUGAUUAAAGAUGUUUACGCUAUUUUAGCUGAACAGCGUACCACUUACCUUGAAACACCCAUACCAUUUUAUUAUAUUUUCAUGUUUUCACCUCACAUGUAAAUCUCACAUGUGAAUUGCAGUUUCAAAUUUGAAAUGUUGGUGAAAUUUUGCAUCCAUCCCCAUGUCACAUUUAUUUCACGAGAUCUUGUUUUCACAUGUAGCUUAAUGUUAUCACAUUAACUUCACAUGAGAUCACGUGAAAUUCAUGUGGUUUUUCCGUAAGGGUGGUAAACACUCUUGGCUUUUGGGUCUAUUUGCUUGAGGGAAUUUUUUUCCUAUGCUAUUUUUAUGUUAUUUGUUUCCUAAAGAAUGUGUGUGAUUUAAACACAGUGAAAAUGCUGAGGGUUUAAACAUCACUGACAUUGGUGUUAAGGCUUUGUAGUAUGGCUGAGAACAAACAUACCUAUCCUGUUUUAUCAUUAAAUCCGUAACGAUGGCAUUUUCUCCAUGUAAAUGAUUCACUUUGUCUUCUAUCACUUUUGCAUUUGUAAUGAGCUGAUUUCAAUGCGUUGGUUCGAGGGCUCGUGCUGUAGCCUAACACACUCCCACAGCUGAGUAGUGUGACAAGAUUAGAGCUGUAAACAUGAACAUUCUCCCGUCAUUUUUUUCUCUCCCAGAUGAGAAUGAAUUUCACGGACGCCAGAGGGUUAGAAGAGAGUUAAACCUGAACUGCAGAUGUUUGGAUGUGAGGAAUAUCGUAGUGUCGUCCCAUUUGAUAUCUGGGCCACGGUCCUAUGCAGUAGAAGAAGUGGGGGAUGGGAUGGAGAUAGAGGAGAAGCUCACUGCCAAUCUCGUUCCUCUCCCAGUGAAAUCUCCUAGACAGCUCCAGAAUAACCCCUGCUGGGAGAGAUUUAACACGUCCAAUUCCAACUGUGCUCAGACGCAUUCCCAAACGGGCGUCGACGAUCCUCCACCUCAGAAGAAUAGAAAAGUUGCUCAAAGCAAAAAAUAUUCCUCACCGCAAUCUGAACAAACAAACAUCAAACAACAGAGACUGAAGCAGCGACUGCUGCCACUGACCAGGUCCCAUUGGGGCCCAGCCUCUUCAUGUGUUUUGUGUGUAGAGCAGUCUGCAGAGGAACUAGAAGUGCCAUGGCGGUGUAGGGCGAUGGUGGCACAGAACCCUGAACCAUCUCGGCUCCCUUCCAGAAUCCUGCCAAACCUCCAAAACACAAUUAGAGCAUCUGGCUGUGAGAUACUGGAGCUGUGCCGACGUUUGUCCUCUAGGAUGAACUAUGUGAACCAUGUGAGCCCGACCACAUCUGGAACUGGAACUAGACCAGUGGGUUGGAGGUUGCUUGGGAAGCCCGUCGGGGACAGCGGAGCACAGGUGCGGGUCAGUCAACCAGAACACCACUCCUGGAAAGUGAGAAAGUUCUCUGGGGCAUCAGUUGACAGCCACAGUCUCACCAGCCUUCUGCAUAAUAGUGAUUGUGGUUCUGGUGUAUCCAGGGGCAGCCAGACCCAGACACAUCUUCCAGAUACUGGGCUCUCUGGCUGUGCUAAAGACAGCAAAGGAGACAGCCAACAGCAUGGACGGAAGGUCAGCGGAUCCAGGAGGGACCAGAGAGGUGGAGGUGGGGUUGGAAAAGGGAGACAGAUGCCCAGAGAAGAAUCCUUGCGGUGGGGUGAAGGAUCAACAUGGCCUUGGGACUCCGAGAGUCAGUCAAGGAACCAGCGGCAGAACGAGUCCCCAACAGACUGUGAUGUCACCCUACUGCACAUUGUGCAUCUUUUACAGUGUAGGUCAGUCAAUCUGUCUCAUGUCAGGGAAGAAGGACAAUUUGGAGAUGAUUUUCAACAUAUCCUUCACAACAGACAAACUUGACUCAAGCAACAUAGCAAGAUAUUUAGUAUUCAGAGUAGGUUAGUGAAUGGACAGGAGGAGCGAGCAAUCUUGAUAUAAUUAUUUUUUAUUCCAAGACUGUAAAUUGAAUUUUGUCUACAGUGUAAAAGGUCAUGAUAAAAAGACAAAGGAAUGAAAUAGAAGUUUGGUAAAACAACUGGGUGACCAGAAUAUCAACAACAUCCAUACAAAAUGAUUCACUAUGCUAAAUAAUGACAAUGUAACAGUCUAACUUCAAACCAGGGAAGAACAAGAAGAAAAACCUGUCAUUUAAAAAAAAGAUCAGUAGCUAGGUUGCAUGAAAGUCUUGCCUAUGGACCAAAAGUUUAACAAAAAGGUAUGAAUGUGUAGAUUAGCAAAAAGGUAUGAAUGUGUAGUUUAACAAAAAGGUAUGAAUGUGUAGUUUAACAAAAAGGUAUGAAUGUGUAGUUUAACAAAAAGGUAUGAAUGUGUAGUUUAACAAAACGGUAUGAAUAUGUAGUUUAACAAAAAGGUAUGAAUGUGUAGUUUAACAAAAAGGUAUGAAUGUGUAGUUUAACAAAAAGGUAUGAAUGUGUAGUUUAACAAAACGGUAUGAAUGUGUAGUUUAACAAAACGGUAUGAAUAUGUAGUUUAACCAAAUGUAUGAGUAUGUAGUUUAAUCAAAUGUAUGAGUAUGUAGUGUAACCAAAUGUAUGAGUAUCUA